GCACGGGUGCGUAACGCGUAUCAAACCUGCCUCAUACUCGGGGAUAGCCUUGCGAAAGUAAGAUUAAUACCCGAUGUUGUUAUGUUACCGCAUGGUGAUAUAACCAAAGAUUUAUCGGUAUGAGAUGGUGAUGCGUCCGAUUAGGUAGUAGGCGGGGUAACGGCCCACCUAGCCUUCGAUCGGUAGGGGUUCUGAGAGGAAGGUCCCCCACACUGGAACUGAGACACGGUCCAGACUCCUACGGGAGGCAGCAGUGAGGAAUAUUGGUCAAUGGACGSAAGUCUGAACCAGCCAAGUAGCGUGCAGGAUGACGGCCCUCCGGGUUGUAAACUGCUUUUAGUUGGGAAUAAAAAAGAGGACGUGUCCUCUAUUGUAUGUACCUUCAGAAAAAGGACCGGCUAAUUCCGUGCCAGCAGCCGCGGUAAUACGGAAGGUCCAGGCGUUAUCCGGAUUUAUUGGGUUUAAAGGGAGCGUAGGCGGAUUAUUAAGUCAGUGGUGAAAGACGGUGGCUCAACCAUCGUUAGCCAUUGAAACUGGUAGUCUUGAGUGCAGACAGGGAUGCUGGAACUCGUGGUGUAGCGGUGAAAUGC
rnacentral:rRNA from 1 species